CCAACGUGGACACCCCGUGAGCUGGCUCUCAUGUGGCUCUGUCUGUGUGGCGUAUGGGAGCGUAGCACCUCGGCGCUGUGACGUACAGUCCCGUUCCACGACGUUGGACAGCAUGCUGGUCCCCGGCCUGUAGGCUGGUGUGGACGGCGUCCCGUAUAUUCCUACACCUUCCCAGAGCCCCACGGGCCGUUACUGGGGAGGUAAACCAUGCGGUGCACAAUC
ensembl:snoRNA SNORA73 Small nucleolar RNA SNORA73 family